rnacentral:pre_miRNA from 1 species
AUACAAAUCACCCAGGAUCUUGUUAAUAUUCAGGUUCCAAUUCUGUAGGUUUGGAGCGGGGCCUGAGAUUAUGCAUUUCUAACAAAUUUCUAGGUGAUGUUGUA